GAUUAAGCUACUAAGGGUACACGGGGGAUGCCUUGGCGUCAAGAGCCGAUGAAGGACGUGGCUGGCUGCGAUAAGCUUCGGCGAGCCGUCAGCAGGCGCUAUCAGCCGGAGAUCUCCGAAUGGGGAAACCCACCUGGGCUAAUCCCCAGGUAUCCCUUAGCUGAACCCAUAGGCUAAGGGAGGGGAACCGGGCGAACUGAAACAUCUUAGUAGCCCGAGGAAAAGAGAUUAUUCCGCUAGUAGUGGCGAGCGAACGCGGAACAGCCCAAACCGUCACGCAUUUUGUGUGGCGGGGUUGUAGGACCCGGCGUAGGAGUGAUAAAUCUGUCUGUUAGCAGAACUGUGCUGGAAAGGCAGACCAUAGAGGGUGACAGUCCCGUAUGCGAAAACGGACAGACUCUGGCCGGUGUUCCUGAGUACCACGGGGCACGCUAAUCCUGUGGGAAGCUGGGAGGCCCACCUCCCAAGGCUAAAUACUCUUGACGACCGAUAGUGGACAAGUACCGUGAGGGAAAGGUGAAAAGAACCGCGGUGAGCGGAGUGAAAUAGAACCUGAAACCGUGUACCUACAAUCAGUCGGAGCCCUAUGCCUGUUUACAGGAAGGGGUGACGGCGUGCCUUUUGGAGAAUGAGCCGGCGAGUUACUCUCUGUAGCGAGGUUAAGCCAGUCACAGGCGGAGCCGUAGCGAAAGCGAGUCUGAAUAGGGCGUUUAGUUGCAGGGAGUAGACACGAAACCGGGUGAGCUAACCAUGGCCAGGUUGAAGCGAGAGUAAUGUCUCGUGGAGGACCGAACGGGUGUACGUUGCAAAGUGCUCCGAUGAGCUGUGGUUAGGGGUGAAAUGCCAAACGAACCCGGAGAUAGCUUGUUCUCCCCGAAAUAGCUUUAGGGCUAGCCUCAUGCGUUUAGUAUCGGAGGUAGAGCACUGGAUUGGCUAGGGGGCCCAUCGCUUACCAAACCAAACCAAACUCCGAAUGCCGAUACUUGAGAGCAUGGGAGUCGGACAGCGAAUGAUGAGAUCCGUUGUCGAGAGGGAAACAGCCCAGAUCGUCAGCUAAGGUCCCUAAGUUAUGGCUAAGUGGGAAAGGAUGUGAGACUACUGAGACAUCCAGGAGGUUGGCUUAGAAGCAGCCAUCCUUUAAAGAGUGCGUAACAGCUCACUGGUCUAGUGGUCUUGCGCCGAAAAUGUAACGGGGCUUAAGCCAUACACCGAAGCUACGAGUUCAGGAGACAGCAGUCAAAAAACAAAACCCAGAUCGUCCGGUCGGCGAAGUUUCUUCGUUGACCUCAGAUCGGGUUUUGAAGACUGUUCACUCCUGAGCGGUAGGGGAGCGUUCUGCAGGAGAAACAAGGCUGACCGUGAGGACAGCUAGCGGCCUGCAGAAGUGAGAAUGCCGGCAUGAGUAGCGUAAACCAUGUGAGAAUCAUGGUCGCCGUAAGUCUAAGGUUUCCAACGGAAGGUUGAUCCGCGUUGGGUUAGUCGGGCCUAAGCCGAGGCCGAGAGGCGUAGGCGAUGGACAACAGGUUAAUAUUCCUGUACCACCAGAGUGGAGCGAUGGGGGGACGCAGAAGGGUAGGCCAGCCGGGUGGUGGAUGUCCCGGUGCUGAACUCGUAGGGCGUUGAUCCUCGUAGGAAAAUCCGCGAGGGGAGCCUGAGGGGUUGUAUGCGGAGCCCUAUGGGCCGGAAGUGGCUGAGCCCAUGCUGCCAAGAAAAGCCUCUAAGCGUUGAAACUCUGGUGCCCGUACCGCAAACCGACACCGGUAGACGGGUGGAGAACACCAAGGCGAUCGGGAGAACCCUCGUUAAGGAACUCGGCAAAAUGGAUCCGUAACUUCGGGAGAAGGAUCGCCCCUGCUGGUGAAGGACCCCGCGUCUGGAGCUGGCGGGGGCCGCAGAGAAAUGGCCCUGCCGACUGUUUACCAAAACCACAGGUCUCUGCUAAGUCGUAAGACGAUGUAUAGGGGCUGACGCCUGCCCAGUGCCGGAAGGUUAAGGGGAGGGGUGCAAGCUCCGAACUGAAGCCCCGGUGAACGGCGGCCGUAACUAUAACGGUCCUAAGGUAGCGAAAUUCCUUGUCGGGUAAGUUCCGACCCGCACGAAAGGCGUAACGAGUGGGGCACUGUCUCAACGAGGGACCCGGCGAAAUUGAACUACCUGUGAAGAUGCAGGUUACCCGCAGAAGGACAAAAAGACCCCGUGGAGCUUUACUGCAGCUUGAUAUUGAGUUAGGGCUUGACUUGUGUAGGAUAGCUGGGAGGCUGAGAAGCUGGGGCGCCAGCCUCGGUGGAGCCGCCGUUGAAAUACCAGCCUGGUCAAGUCUUGGCCCUAACGGCUGGCCGUGAUCCGGCAGCCGGACAGUGUCAGGUGGGCAGUUUGACUGGGGCGGUCGCCUCCCAAAAGGUAACGGAGGCGCCCAAAGGUUCCCUCAGGCUGAAUGGAAACCAGCCGUAGAGUGUAAAGGCAUAAGGGAGCUUGACUGCAAGACCGACAAGUCGAGCAGAGACGAAAGUCGGGCUUAGUGAUCCCACGGUACCGGGUGGAAGGGCCGUGGCUUACCGGAUAAAAGCUACCCCGGGGAUAACAGGCUAGUCUCGCCCAAGAGUUCACAUCGACGGCGAGGCUCGGCACCUCGAUGUCGGCUCGUCGCAUCCUGGGGCUGGAGUAGGUCCCAAGGGUUGGGCUGUUCGCCCAUUAAAGCGGUACGCGAGCUGGGUUCAGACCGUCGUGAGACAGGUCGGUCUCUAUCCUCUGCGGGCGUAGGUGAUCUGAGAGGAGCUGCCCCUAGGACGAGAGGACCGGGGUGGACCGACCGCUGGUGUACCAGUUGUACCGCCAGGUGCAGUGCUGGGUAGCUACGUCGGGCAGAGAUAACCGCUGAAAGCAUCUAAGUGGGAAACUCGCCUCAAGAUGAGAUCACCGUCCGGUAACCAAUCCGGGAGAGGCCGCUGGGAGACUACCAGCUAUAUAGGCGGCAUGUGUAAGGGCAGCAAUGUCCUCAGCUAAGCCGUCCUAAUGGCCGAAGGCUUAAUCCCU
rnacentral:rRNA from 1 species